CCUACGGGUGGCUGCAGUGAGGAAUAUUGGUCAAUGGUCGGGAGACUGAACCAGCCAAGCCGCGUGAGGGAGGAAGGUACAGAGUAUCGUAAACCUCUUUUGUCAGGGAACAAAGGCGGGGACGUGUCCCCGGAUGAGUGUACCUGAAGAAAAAGCAUCGGCUAACUCCGUGCCAGCAGCCGCGGUAAUACGGAGGAUGCGAGCGUUAUCCAGAUUUAUUGGGUUUAAAGGGUGCGCAGGCGGUCGGUAAAGUCAGCGGUAAAAGCCCGAGGCUCAACCCCGGCCCGCCGUUGAAACUGGCAGUGUCGAGGUGGAGAGAAGUAUGCGGAAUGCGCGGUGUAGCGGUGAAAUGCAUAGAUAUCGCGCAGAACUCCGAUUACGAAGGCAGCAUGCCGGCUCCACACUGACGCUGAGGCACGAAAGCGUGGGUAUCGAACAGGAUUAGAUACCCGGGUAGUC
rnacentral:rRNA from 1 species